rnacentral:rRNA from 1 species
GGGCGUACACACACGCUACAAUAGGGCAGCACAACAGGUAGCGAAGCCGCGAGGCGGAGCCAAUCCCCCAAAGACUGUCCUCAGUUCAGAUUGCAGGCUGCAACUCGCCUGCAUGAAGAUGGAGUUGCUAGUAAACGCGCGUCAGCUAUAGUGCGUUGAAUACGUUCCCGGGUCUU